UUUAAGACAAUCUGACGAUCAAAAUCGCAGGCAAGAAAAAGCUCAGGCCAAUUAAAGAAGUGAUAAUAGCAAGGCCUAAAGAAGGGGCUAACAUUGCAUAUGUGCCCGUAACAAAUGCAAUCACCAUUGCUGCCAUGGACCAUAAGGUGAACCAAAUGGAAGCGUGGAACAAAUCCUCAUUGAAAUCUUUAGUUUCUUCAGUUACAUAAGACAACCAGAAGUGAGUAACGACGGCAGAAAGAGAAAAGGCCAUGGCAAUGGAAUCUGCUACCAUAAAUAAUUGAAAAGCUUUAUUUCUCCUCAGGAUUGCAGUUCCAUUUUCGCUUCUAUAACCGCCAGGAAUGGUGAAAGCUGCUGCGAAGGCUACUGUUGCUAUGAGUGCAGCCACUACCAAAUGUGAUGCUCUUGUAUCCUUGUAAUUUUCUUUAUUAACAUACUUUUGCACUUCUCUUAUGAAUAUAACACCUUUUGAAUAUUGUCCUCUUCCAACUUCUUUGGAUAAUUUUUGGAUUUCUUCCUGUAAUUAAUUUACAUUUGAAUAUUAAUUAAUUGCGUAAAAAAAAUUAAAUUUAAUAAUUUAGUUGAAAGAACAAAUUAAAUAAUUACCUUGAGCUCAGGAUAGCCAUAAUUAAAAAUGUGUCUGACACUAACAUUUUGUUUGUUGACAGCGUCAUAGUUGGCUUGAGUACUCCUAUUCAUAACAUCAUGGAAUUCAGUUGGACGGACUGCAGCAAGCACAUGGAGAGGAGUGUUUCCCUCGGCAUCCCCCUCAUCUAUAAGACUCCUCGCUAACGGAUUAUUUUCAAGAAGAUUUCUUAGUUGUCCAACAUGAAAACUAACCAUAGCAUAAUGGAGAAAAUUCCAUCCCCUGUUAUCGACCAGUUCGCAACAUUCUGGAUUUUUAGAAAUAAUUGCUUCAACUAUUUUGGCAUGCCCUUGGCCCGCUGCCAAAUGAAGAGCUGUCAUCUUUCCAUCUUUGUCAGCAAUGUUCGAAGCGGAUUGAUCAGUUUCUAAUAACAAAUUUAUCGUCCUGUAAUUUCCAUGAUAUGCAACGUAAUGAAUUGGAGUCCACCCAUAUUGAUCUGUUUCUUUGAUCAGAUUCUUCUUUUUCUCAAGUAAUUUUCGUAAUGCAGUACCAACUGAGAAUACAGAAGAUAAAUAAAAUAAUAAUUAAAUUUUUUAAUAAAAGUAAAUAUCUAGAAAUGGCCUAAAUUUGGGGGCUAUUUAUGUUGGAGAUAUGAGAAAAAAAAUAGCUUUUUUAAAUUACAAAUCAGCCAGAAGUCUAGAACAACAAUGCCAACACCAAUCACACGAUGAGUGAUGAAUAAUGGCUUCAGAUCGGUAACUUUGUUAUUUAACAAAAUAAAAACUUGCAAUUAUUUCCCUGAUUUUGCAUCUAGAAAUAACAAUUUUUGCAAAAUUCACUAAGACACGUUUGAAGCACUAUUCUAAAGACCAAUUCGGUGAAUCUAAUUAUCCUAAAACCAACUUUCCCUAUCUUAGUUAUCCAAAAGACCAAUUUUCAGUACAUUUACAAUUCUAAAGACUAGUUUUUUUAGGAAGAUUUCACAGUAGAAAAAUUAACUCCUUCAUAACAACGCUUAAUUUCUUCAUAAAUUGAGAGUAUUUUUGUCAUUAUUCAGAAAAUUAUAUCUGACAAUUUAUCCUGAUUAAAUUGAUGGCAAUUAAUAAUUUAUUAAUGAAUUAAAAGGGUGUAUUUACUUGAACAUUAUGGAAAGAAUCUAUUAAUAGAAAGAUAUCAAUAUUGAAAUUCCUACUGAAAGGGUAUAACUAAACUUACCGAAAGGAAAUUCCAUUGCUGCAGCAUGUAAAGCCGUCUUUCUGUUGGGGCCUUCAUGAGACACUGAUGUGCUGUUUACAAAUAAGGCAAGCACCAUAUUAGAAGACCGAUAAUCAGCAGCCAUGUAGAGUGGCGUUUUGCCGUAAUUAUUUGCAGAAUAUUGAUAAUCAGGGUCUUCUUUCGUCAGUAAUUCCACCACAUCGACGUUUUGGUGACACACUGCCUCGUGGAGUGCUGUAUUCUUCUCAUUAUUUGUCAUCCUAAUCAUCUGCCUGGCAGCUCCUACCCUGCUCUCUAGCUCUUCAUUUUCAUGUUGAGGUAGUUUUGCUCUUUCCACAAGAACCCUCACUAUAUCAGAAUGGCCAAAUUUUGCCGCAACGUGAAGUGGAGUAUCGCCUUUGGCAUUAACUUGUAGUAGCAGCGAUGGGCAUUUCUCAAGUAUUUCUGCUACAAACUUCGUUGACACGUUUUCUCUUUCUUGGGAUAUGAUAUUGAUAUGCAGGAUUGUGUUUUUGGUCUUUGCUGUUAACAAUCUCUCAAUUACCUCUCUUGCCAUAUCUUUGAAGGGCUCCAAAUUUCCCGCAGCUGCGGCUUUGAACAAAUUUGGGUCUAUUUGCGACUGACUGAUCUCGCCAUUGUUGUCCAAUAAUGAAGCUUCCUCAAUCUCAUUGGAAACAGAAUUCAUGUCGGCGAAGUUGAUCUAUUAGAUAAGGGUACCCAGUAUCUCGGAGGUACUCAUAGAUCUUCCUCUAAACCUUACAUGUAUGUAUAUAUGACUUGAAAAGUGUAGUAUUUUUCACACGUCUUAAAUUCUUGCUUUUUUGACAGGGUAACGACACCGAAAAAAUACGGGUCGGGCCAAUCCGGAUGAGAGUGGAGGCUGUUCCGGGCCAAGCCAAAUUAAUAUGGCGAUUUGCUCAAAUCCAAUGAGAGGUAGCCAGGUGGAAGAAGUAGGUGUGGGAGCAUUAAAUGGAGAGAGAUUGCAGAAGAUCGACUGUAGCAAGAUAGCAGGUGAAACAGAGAUGAAGCAGAUGCAUAGGGAAGAGAGCAUUGUGGAUAGGGAUGGCAGAAUAAUCCGGACCCGGACGAAUCAGGAUAAUCCGGUCCGGGUUGAAUCCGUAUUGCAGUUAUAUAAAAUACGGAUCCAGAUUUAAUUUUAUGAACCCGGAUGAUAUCCGGUUCGGGUCAGGGUUUAGGUGAACCCGCAUAUCCGAAACCCGGACCCGGAUAUCUUUCAUUUUAAUAUUAAAUUUUUAAUAAUUUUUAAUAUAAAUAGAAAAGAAAGGAAGGAAAUAAUAAUGCGCACAGCCGGCCCUAAUUUUGCAAUUCGCAUUCCUCUUCUCAAAUCUCACAUCCGCCGGCCGCCAACCAUAUUUCCUUUUCUCUUCAUCAAAUCAAGUCGUCGUCGUCAUCACUUCGGCCAUUUUCUCUUCUCUGUGUUCAUUAUCAUCAUCAGUUGCUGUGUUCCUCUUCUCUGCACUGCUGCGACCACCAUUCCUUCUCAAUCGCUCAACUGUUGCAAAAUCGCCUGGAUUAGCUUCCACCUCUAAGCCCGCCUGUGCUUCUCGUUUGUCAUAUUCCAUGGUGGGGGCUGUCUUUGAUGGCAUUGCAUGGUGGAUUUGGGUGGGCCACGGUCUUUGAUGCCAUUACAAUUCAAAAUUAAUUGUAAUUUUCGUGCAUCCACUUCCUAUAUUAGGUUAUUAAUUUAUUGAAUUUUGUUGGUAGUAUUUGCAACGCCUUCAUAUUAAGAUCUAUCCUGUGUACCUGCCUGAAUUUCACGGAAAAAAAGGUUAAUCGGUUUUAAUUUGUGAUUGAAUUGUAGUUUCCAAUUUUUUUUUUCAUUUUUUAAUCAUAAUUCAAAAGACAAUCCGGGUUUCAAACCCGGAAUUCGGGACCCUUAAUUUUUCCGGGUUGAACCCGGACCGGACCCGCAUGUAAAAAAUCCGGAUUAUAUGUGGGUCCGGUAAAAAGAAAAUGACAUCCGGGUCCGGAACCAAGAAGACCGAACCCAGAACCGGACCCGGAUUUUGCCAUCCUACAUAUGGCUUCUUUUGUUUUUUGUUUUUUGUUUUUUUUAUUUGUUGGCUGCAUAUGGUGGGCUCCACCAUAUGCAGCCACUCGUGGCCUUUGGAUUUAAAUCCAAAUGCCACUAGCCUUUAUCCCGGAAACUGUUCCAAUCCGAGAGUCAGAUUGGAACAGUUCCCAUAUAUAUAAUUGUUGUUGCUUUCUGCUUUAUGCGGCCUUCAAAUGUGGAUGCCCACAAAAAACAAGGAUGCAUUUGGAAUUAUUUUUCAAUUUUUGUUUUCAUAAAAUAAAAAUGAAAAUGAAAUACUACUUUUAUAUUUAUUUUUAAAAUUUAAAAAUACGUUCGAUAUCAUUUUCAAAAAUAAUAUUAAAAACAAGAAAAAAGUAAAAUAUAUUUUGUAGGAAUAUUUUAAAGUAUUAUUAUUGGAAUAAUUUCCAUUAGCUAAAUAUUAAUUAAGUAGUAUUUAAUUAUUUUUAUUACUUAAAUAGUUUGAUUAUUUUAAUUUUAAGAAUAAAUUAGGUGAUGUUCACACACACACACACAUCAUAGAUUUUCUUUACUCAUGUCUAAUUAAAGAUUUCUAAUGACGCAUUAUACAAAGAGAUAAGUUUUUUUAAUUUUUUUUUGACAAAGUAAUCAAGAUUUUAUUCCAUCAACAUAAGAAAGUACAAAUAAUUUGAAAUAUUAAAUUUGAUUUUGACUUCCUCUCACCAAUUCAAUCUAAUUAUUAACAGCAAAGUAGACCGGCCUGUUUCUCAAAUUUGAUUUUCAUUAAAACAUCAGUGAUCAAUGUACAAUUAAAAUAAUGAUUCAUUAUUAGCAAAGAUUGAGUAAAUUAAUUAAUGUUUAUGUUAAAUGAAAAUCAAUCAUUUUAUUGAUAAACAAAGAUGGUGACUCGCUACAAUCAAUUACUUUUGUCCUACUUAUUUAAGACAAUCUGACGAUCAAAAUCGCAGGCAAGAAAAAGCUCAGGCCAAUUAAAGAAGUGAUAAUAGCAAGGCCUAAAGAAGGGGCUAACAUUGCAUAUGUGCCCGUAACAAAUGCAAUCACCAUUGCUGCCAUGGACCAUAAGGUGAACCAAAUGGAAGCGUGGAACAAAUCCUCAUUGAAAUCUUUAGUUUCUUCAGUUACAUAAGACAACCAGAAGUGAGUAACGACGGCAGAAAGAGAAAAGGCCAUGGCAAUGGAAUCUGCUACCAUAAAUAAUUGAAAAGCUUUAUUUCUCCUCAGGAUUGCAGUUCCAUUUUCGCUUCUAUAACCGCCAGGAAUGGUGAAAGCUGCUGCGAAGGCUACUGUUGCUAUGAGUGCAGCCACUACCAAAUGUGAUGCUCUUGUAUCCUUGUAAUUUUCUUUAUUAACAUACUUUUGCACUUCUCUUAUGAAUAUAACACCUUUUGAAUAUUGUCCUCUUCCAACUUCUUUGGAUAAUUUUUGGAUUUCUUCCUGUAAUUAAUUUACAUUUGAAUAUUAAUUAAUUGCGUAAAAAAAAUUAAAUUUAAUAAUUUAGUUGAAAGAACAAAUUAAAUAAUUACCUUGAGCUCAGGAUAGCCAUAAUUAAAAAUGUGUCUGACACUAACAUUUUGUUUGUUGACAGCGUCAUAGUUGGCUUGAGUACUCCUAUUCAUAACAUCAUGGAAUUCAGUUGGACGGACUGCAGCAAGCACAUGGAGAGGAGUGUUUCCCUCGGCAUCCCCCUCAUCUAUAAGACUCCUCGCUAACGGAUUAUUUUCAAGAAGAUUUCUUAGUUGUCCAACAUGAAAACUAACCAUAGCAUAAUGGAGAAAAUUCCAUUCCUUGUUAUCGACCAGCUCGUAACAUUCUGGAUUUUUAGAAAUAAUUGCUUCAACUAUUUUGGCAUGCCCUUGGCCCGCUGCCAAAUGAAGAGCUGUCAUCUUUCCAUCUUUGUCAGCAAUGUUCGAAGCGGAUUGAUCAGUUUCUAAUAACAAAUUUAUCGUCCUGUAAUUUCCAUGAUAUGCAACGUAAUGAAUUGGAGUCCACCCAUAUUGAUCUGUUUCUUUGAUCAGAUUCUUCUUUUUCUCAAGUAAUUUUCGUAAUGCAGUACCAACUGAGAAUACAGAAGAUAAAUAAAAUAAUAAUUAAAUUUUUUAAUAAAAGUAAAUAUCUAGAAAUGGCCUAAAUUUGGGGGCUAUUUAUGUUGGAGAUAUGAGAAAAAAAAUAGCUUUUUUAAAUUACAAAUCAGCCAGAAGUCUAGAACAACAAUGCCAACACCAAUCACACGAUGAGUGAUGAAUAAUGGCUUCAGAUCGGUAACUUUGUUAUUUAACAAAAUAAAAACUUGCAAUUAUUUCCCUGAUUUUGCAUCUAGAAAUAACAAUUUUUGCAAAAUUCACUAAGACACGUUUGAAGCACUAUUCUAAAGACCAAUUCGGUGAAUCUAAUUAUCCUAAAACCAACUUUCCCUAUCUUAGUUAUCCAAAAGACCAAUUUUCAGUACAUUUACAAUUCUAAAGACUAGUUUUUUUAGGAAGAUUUCACAGUAGAAAAAUUAACUCCUUCAUAACAACGCUUAAUUUCUUCAUAAAUUGAGAGUAUUUUUGUCAUUAUUCAGAAAAUUAUAUCUGACAAUUUAUCCUGAUUAAAUUGAUGGCAAUUAAUAAUUUAUUAAUGAAUUAAAAGGGUGUAUUUACUUGAACAUUAUGGAAAGAAUCUAUUAAUAGAAAGAUAUCAAUAUUGAAAUUCCUACUGAAAGGGUAUAACUAAACUUACCGAAAGGAAAUUCCAUUGCUGCAGCAUGUAAAGCCGUCUUUCUGUUGGGGCCUUCAUGAGACACUGAUGUGCUGUUUACAAAUAAGGCAAGCACCAUAUUAGAAGACCGAUAAUCAGCAGCCAUGUAGAGUGGCGUUUUGCCGUAAUUAUUUGCAGAAUAUUGAUAAUCAGGGUCUUCUUUCGUCAGUAAUUCCACCACAUCGACGUUUUGGUGACACACUGCCUCGUGGAGUGCUGUAUUCUUCUCAUUAUUUGUCAUCCUAAUCAUCUGCCUGGCAGCUCCUACCCUGCUCUCUAGCUCUUCAUUUUCAUGUUGAGGUAGUUUUGCUCUUUCCACAAGAACCCUCACUAUAUCAGAAUGGCCAAAUUUUGCCGCAACGUGAAGUGGAGUAUCGCCUUUGGCAUUAACUUGUAGUAGCAGCGAUGGGCAUUUCUCAAGUAUUUCUGCUACAAACUUCGUUGACACGUUUUCUCUUUCUUGGGAUAUGAUAUUGAUAUGCAGGAUUGUGUUUUUGGUCUUUGCUGUUAACAAUCUCUCAAUUACCUCUCUUGCCAUAUCUUUGAAGGGCUCCAAAUUUCCCGCAGCUGCGGCUUUGAACAAAUUUGGGUCUAUUUGCGACUGACUGAUCUCGCCAUUGUUGUCCAAUAAUGAAGCUUCCUCAAUCUCAUUGGAAACAGAAUUCAUGUCGGCGAAGUUGAUCUAUUAGAUAAGGGUACCCAGUAUCUCGGAGGUACUCAUAGAUCUUCCUCUAAACCUUACAUGUAUGUAUAUAUGACUUGAAAAGUGUAGUAUUUUUCACACGUCUUAAAUUCUUGCUUUUUUGACAGGGUAACGACACCGAAAAAAUACGGGUCGGGCCAAUCCGGAUGAGAGUGGAGGCUGUUCCGGGCCAAGCCAAAUUAAUAUGGCGAUUUGCUCAAAUCCAAUGAGAGGUAGCCAGGUGGAAGAAGUAGGUGUGGGAGCAUUAAAUGGAGAGAGAUUGCAGAAGAUCGACUGUAGCAAGAUAGCAGGUGAAACAGAGAUGAAGCAGAUGCAUAGGGAAGAGAGCAUUGUGGAUAGGGAUGGCAGAAUAAUCCGGACCCGGACGAAUCAGGAUAAUCCGGUCCGGGUUGAAUCCGUAUUGCAGUUAUAUAAAAUACGGAUCCAGAUUUAAUUUUAUGAACCCGGAUGAUAUCCGGUUCGGGUCAGGGUUUAGGUGAACCCGCAUAUCCGAAACCCGGACCCGGAUAUCUUUCAUUUUAAUAUUAAAUUUUUAAUAAUUUUUAAUAUAAAUAGAAAAGAAAGGAAGGAAAUAAUAAUGCGCACAGCCGGCCCUAAUUUUGCAAUUCGCAUUCCUCUUCUCAAAUCUCACAUCCGCCGGCCGCCAACCAUAUUUCCUUUUCUCUUCAUCAAAUCAAGUCGUCGUCGUCAUCACUUCGGCCAUUUUCUCUUCUCUGUGUUCAUUAUCAUCAUCAGUUGCUGUGUUCCUCUUCUCUGCACUGCUGCGACCACCAUUCAUUCUCAAUCGUUCAACUCUUGCAAAAUCGCCUGGAUUAGCUUCCACCUCUAAGCCCGCCUGUGCUUCUCGUUUGUCAUAUUCCAUGGUGGGGGCUGUCUUUGAUGGCAUUGCAUGGUGGAUUUGGGUGGGCCACGGUCUUUGAUGCCAUUACAAUUCAAAAUUAAUUGUAAUUUUCGUGCAUCCACUUCCUAUAUUAGGUUAUUAAUUUAUUGAAUUUUGUUGGUAGUAUUUGCAACGCCUUCAUAUUAAGAUCUAUCCUGUGUACCUGCCUGAAUUUCACGGAAAAAAAGGUUAAUCGGUUUUAAUUUGUGAUUGAAUUGUAGUUUCCAAUUUUUUUUUUCAUUUUUUAAUCAUAAUUCAAAAGACAAUCCGGGUUUCAAACCCGGAAUUCGGGACCCUUAAUUUUUCCGGGUUGAACCCGGACCGGACCCGCAUGUAAAAAAUCCGGGUUAUAUGCGGGUCCGGUAAAAAGAAAAUGACAUCCGGGUUCGGAACCGGGAAGGCCGAACCCGGAACCGGACCCGGAUUUUGCCAUCCCUAAUUGUGGAGGGAAAAAUGAAAGGAAAAAAGCGGGAAAACAAGUUGAUAGCAGCACAGGAUAUUAUGGGCUCAAUGGGCCGAGUAGAAAAUAUUGAAGAAAGAAACAAAGAGGGCCAACAACAGGGAAGUAUUAUCGGAAACGAAAAAGAGACAAACAGACAGUUAAAAGUAUCGACAUUAAUUCUCACUCUUUUGACAAGCCAAGAAUCAACAUUUUUAAAUUUUAACCUUGAUUUCUUCCUCAUGCUCUUUUAGUUAAACAAAUAAGAUAAAUUGAGAUUAGUCAUUCUCUUUGGCAAACUAUUCAAUUUCUCAACUGUGGGUGCUUUAUGUUUAAUUAAUAAUUAUUAAACUGUGGCGCAAUAUUUUCAAGAACUCAGACAAAAAAAUAUAUAUACCAAUUAAUUAUUAAAGUUGACCAUGGUUUCUUCUUUUGUUUUGUCCUUAACAUUGAAAAAGUCUGCAUCGCCAUAUCCUCAAUCUUUAAAUACUGCAGCCUUCCUUAUCACAUUUCGAUCGGAUUCCAUAUACAGUUCUGCUCUUUUUGUUUGUUGGGUAAAGAAUCAAGUGACUCUUAAGUGACUGCAAACAAUAAAAUAAUAGGGGAAUCCUCUAUGAGUACAAUUGAUAGUUCAUUAAUUCUACAAAAGAAAAGUGAUUCAACGUUGCCUCUUAGCCCUCUUGUUACUUGUUAAAUCACUUCCUAAAUGAUACUAUAUGGAAUAUGUCAUUCAUGUACUAAUUAUAGACGUUUAUACGUUUUGUAUGACAGAAAAACAUCUAAGUGAUUUAAAAUCACUUAAUUAAUUAACUAUUAUUUAUGUAUAUGGAAAUUCUUACCUUAGUUUAACAUAUGUUCUUUAUUCCUCCACCAACCUUUAAUUGAUUCACACUAUUGGUAGGCAAGCAUAAUAACUACAGGGUACAUGUAAAAAACAUGCAAUGAUGACUAUUGAGAUGCAAUGAUGAUUUUUAAAAUAGACAUAAUAAUUGCCACCACCCCCCACUUCAUUUAUUUUCUUCCUAUUGACACCUACUACUCUUUUUCAUUUAUUUUCCUCUCCACUUUAUUUAUUUUUUUCCUACGGACACCUACUACUCUUUUUCAUUUAUUUUCUUCUCACCAGAUAACUACUACCCUUCUUUAUUUAUUUUUCCUUUGACUUUCUUUUAUAAUUAUUACAAUAGCUUAUGUAUUUAUAUCAUCGUAAAAUAGACAAUAAAGAAUGAAUGAAAAUCAUUUUUUUCUUCCCUUUAGCUUUUUAAUACGAGCAUCACAAUGGUUCCAGUGAGACAAUCUUAUUAUGCAAUUCCCAUCCUACAACUUCAAAGUUUUACAAUUGUUUAGUUUGUGCAAAAUAUAUUUACACAUUCAGCUGUGUCAAGUCCACUGACGCCUCUAGUUCAAAGUUACAUCUCUUCCCAUAUCCUUGAAAGGUUCAGUAUUUUAACUGCAGCUGUGAAAUCAGGGUCCAUUUGAUAUGAUUCAAUAUAGUUUCGUUAAAAGCUUCAAUCAGUCAGAACAAUGGUACCAAUCAGCAAACACAAUGGUGUUGAACAACGACUUGAAAGCAGUAACUUUAUUAUUUAAGGGUUGCAUCUAAAUGCUACAAGUUUAUCUGGAGGCGAAUAGAGUUUUUGUGCAUCUAUCUGUUGACAUUUUGCUGACCUGGAUAAUUUUUUAAUUAAUGUUUACUUACUCUUUUAAUUGGUAAGAGAAAUGUUCAAUCAAUCGUGGGGUGAGAGACCGCUGAGAAAAACAAAGGCAAAACGUUGUAGUGUUUUCAAUGGAAAAAAUACAACCCUUGAAAAUUGGAACUCCAAGAUAAACAAAAGGAAAAGAGCCUUCCGAGAAACCUAAGAUAUCAGCGACAGUAUUUUUUCGAGAAGCAGCUGCCUUGACCAGAAAAAAAUGUUAGAUCUUCUUUUUCUCCGGUUAAUUUUUUUAACAUAUCAACUAAGACAGAAAGAUAAGUUGCACAAUUACGAAACGUAUUCAUAUUAAUAAAUAUACAGAAUGACACAAAUUUGUUGGGCCAUUUACGUUGGAAAUAUGAGGCAAAAUAACUUUUUGAAGGAUCAGCUCAGCCGGAACAACAACACCCAUCAAAAAACUCAACGGUGAUGGACAAUAGCUUGACAACAGUAUUCUUUGUUAUUUAAAAAAGAAAGUUACAAUCAUAACCUUGUGGCUGCAGCCGGAAACCAAAUAGUUGCUUCCUACAACUAAGAAUUUGUUAUCCGACCAACGAAUACGAACUCAGAGAAAAUUCCUCAAGGGGGGUGCAAAGCAUUGUCCUAAAGGGUAAUUUUCACUAUACUACAACAUCGGACGCUGUCAUAUCUUUGUAAUCAUAUUUAGGAUCGUCAAGAUAAUCUUUUGACCAGGCAGGGUUAGAUUAUGAAUUUAUGAAAUUAUUGUAUAUGUUUGUGUGAACGUAACAAAAAAAAUAUUCAAAAGAUAUUGCAACAUCGAGAAACUUGCUCUAAAGAAAGUAAUUAAAAAGAUAAAUUACUAUUUUUAAUUUUGAAUUUUAAAGGUUCCAAAAAAGAAUAACUUAACUAUAAAUAUUAUUUUAUUUCUGUUAAUAAAGAUUGAUUUAAGGACAUACUUGAGAAAAAAUGAUUUAAAAAAUAAAAAAAAACCAUAAAAUUUUAAGGCAUGUUGAAUAAUUAUUCGGACUAGCCCUGUCAAGUAAACACAGCACGUGCCACUGCAUUUGGAUCUGGUCUUAGCAAUAUAGCACUGUUCUUAUGAAUAUGGCACUGUCUGGAUAUUGUCCUCUGCCAACAUCUUUGGGCAACUUUUGGAUUUUCUCCUGUAAUUUGAAUUUGAAUAUGAAUUAAUUGCAUAAACUGAAAAAAAGAAAAAAGAGUAGGACUAUUAGCACCCCUCCAAAUAGCUCUUAAAAUUCCUUUAAGUAUUUUACGAUUUUAACCUUUAUUAAAAUUACAUAAUAGGCCAAUUUCUAAGAAAAUCUCCACUCAAAAGUCAAAUAAUUUUUUUUUUCCUUAUAAAAUCUAAAAUUUUAGAAAUUAAAAAGGUUGCUUUUUCCUUUAAUUUUCGAGUAAGGAAUUUACCACCGAUAGCUACUAUGGAGAGAAUAAAAACCUAUUAUUUUUUCUUUAAAUAGGAGAGACCCUAUUAUUGAAAUGAGGUUUAAUAAUAAAAAUUAGAGAAUGGGGUUUACACAAUAAGUUUUAAUUAAGGGUAUUUUUAUUAUUAAUGGAGGUGUUCAAAGAAUUAUUUAAUUUUUUUAAAACAUUUAAUGGGGUUAAUUAAGAAAAGGGGUGUUAAGAGAUAUUUAGAGGGGUGCUAAUAGUCCCACUCAAAAAAAGAAAAAAAAAAAAAGAAAUAAAGUAAUGAAAAAGAAAGCUGGAUUAUAAGUUGAAAGAAUUAACAAAUUAAUUACCUUAGAGCGUAGGAUAGCCAUAUUUCAAAAGGUGUCUACCAAAAACAUUUUGCUCGUUGACAUAGUGAUCAUUGGCUUGAGUCUUCCUAAUAAUAUAGAGUUCUCCUUGGCAUCCCCCUCAUUUAUAAGACUCCUCGAUAACGGAUUUUUUAGGAAAGUUUUUAAAUCAUAAAAAAAAAAAAAACUGACCAUUGCAUAAUGAAAAAAAUUCCAUCCCCUGUUAUCGAACAGUUCAUAACAUUUUGCUGCAAGAGAAAGAAUUCUUUCAUUUGCUUUAGCAAGCCCUCGGCCCGCUGCCAAAUGAAGAGCUGUCAUCUUUUGAUCUUUGUCAAAAAUGUUUGAAGCAGUUGGAUCAAUUUCUAAUAGCACAUAUAUCUGUUGAUAUUGAUUAUGAUAUGCAGCGUAAUGAAUUGGAGUCUACAAAUAUUGGUCUGUUUCUUUGAUCAGACUUCCUUUUUUCAAAUAAUUUUUGAAUCGCACGAUAAUCCAUUUCUGAGUGUACAGAGCCAAAAGAUAAAUAAAAUUAUAAUUCAAAUUGAAUUUUUAUCUACCACCACCCUCUAGGAUUUGAAUUUAGUGACCAAUUAAAUAUAAUUAUUUGAAAAUCAUUAUGGCAGAAAAUACAUUCAACAAUCCCAUAUCUUCUACCAAAUUUGUAGCUAUUUAUUACCUUCUCACUCACAAUGCAAUACUACCAAUUCUGAAUUACAAUCCAAACCAAAUGCAUGGUCAUUCAAUAAAUGUUGGUAAUGCUAAAUUCGUGGUAAUGAUACCCAUGUAAAUUUGUAAUAAAUUUUUAAAUCAUUAUAAAUUUGUAAUAAAUUAAUAAUAACAUUCAAUUAAAGAAAUUAACCAUUUAAAAUAAAAUAAUAAAUAAAAAUUUAUAGAUUUAAUUUUUUAAUAUUGAAUUAUCUAAUUUAAAAAUCCUUUAAUUAAUUGAAACUUAAGACAUAGUUUAAUAUUAUAAUUUUAUAUUUUUUACUCAUCAUUAAUUUAUGAAUUAGGGAUUUAAAUUUUCAAUUCUUUUUUUAUUAUUUUUAUAUUUUAAUUUAAAGUUAUAUUAAGAAAAAAAAGAGGAUCAAAUCUGAUAUAAACUUUUUUUUUUAAACUCUUAUAAAAAAUCCUUGUGCAAGCUCUCAUGAGAAAGACUAAGUUGCCGAACCUAAUUAUAUGCGCAACAUUAAUUUAAAUUUUAACCACAACUUAACCUUUUUAGAAAAUUAAAAAAAGGAAAAAAAUCUAUAAUUUGGGUUCCGCAAAAAUAAGAGUUAAAAAAUAUUAAUUUAAACUUUGUCUGCACCCCAAUUUUUUUAAAAAAUAAAAAGAUUAAAAAAAACCUCUAUAAAUAUGUUUAUGUUGAGGGAAGCAACCACAUGGAUCAUGCACAUGAGCUAAAAAACUUAUCAGUAAAGUCCAUUGCAUAUCCAAAAACACUUCGUAACUAUUUUAUUCCGCAAAAUAACGAAGUACCAAUUACCACUUAUGACCUUUUCCAACAAAGGACUUCCGAUGAGAAGCCUCAUAUUAUUAAAAGGGGCAUAGCUAAUUUGCGUCAGGGGUUUGGUACCCCAGUCGCUUGUCCUAUAGUGAAUCAGCCAUUGGAUAUAAUCUCACGGCUGAAGAAGUGACACAGAGUCGAUUGCAUUUAACCGGACAAGAAGGUAAGGGCCCAGUAACAUAGAGGGGAAAAAAGAAGUUGACAAAAGUAGCCAUUUAAUGGUUGCCACGUGAGUUACGAAGACAUGUAUUGAAACAAACGCCAAGUGAAUGCAAGUAAUGGUUCAAAACAAUUUGGUGGAAGCGUGCAAGUCUGGGUUGAGGUCUUUGGCGGAAAUGGAAAAUUGGGAAAAAGUAAUUGGUGGGGGGAAAAAAGGGGAAAAUUCCAUAAUCCUGAGAUUUGAAGUAAGAAUUAAUUUAAUUUUUAUGCAUGUAGUUUAAAUAGUAGGCCACGUCAUUCACAAAAUAAUAAUAAUAAUAAUAAUAAUAAUAAUAAUAAUAAUAAUAAUAAUAAUAAUAAUAAUAAUAAUAAUAAUAAUAAUAAUAAUAAUAAUAAUAAUAAUAAUAAUAAUAAUAAUAAUAAUAAUAAUAAUAAUAAUAAUAAUAAUAAUAAUAAUAAUAAUAAUAAAUAAGCCAUGUCAUUUCCAAUUUUGAACAAUAAUAAUAAUAAUAAUAAUAAUAAACUAAUAAUGCUUAAUAUUAUAAUUAUGACGACGACGACAACGAUGAUAAUUUACGUAAUAAUAAUAAUAAUAAUAAUAAAUCAUCAACCAAAAAAUUGAGGCUUUUUUGAGAUGACGGAUCAGUUAAAAGAGGGAAAAAGAAAGAGAAAAAUAUCUUUGACACUCUAUUUUAACUAUUUUCUUUGACAGUCUCUAUUGUUUGUUGUAAGUAAUAGAAACUAUGAGUUUUAUAGUUUGUUAUAGAAUAAGACCCAAUUAAAUUAUAAUAAUUAAAAAAUUAAUAAAAUUAUUUAACAUGUUAUUCAAUAGUCCCUGUUUGUUUCGGUAAAGAGUUUAAAGUAAUAAGUGCGAAAUAAAAACAAUAGUUUUAGUGUACGAAAAAAAUUGUGUUGUAUAUAUGCAUCUCUUUUAGUCAGUAUCUUAUAUUGUAAAUCUUAAUUUAUUAAGUAUAAAGCAUAUAAUUCUCCUAAUAUAAUAAUAAUAAUCAAAUAGUCUUGUAGCCACAAUUUCCAUUUCCUUUUUCUAAUUUUAAACCACCAGCACCAGAUAGGUUGGGGGNNNNNNNNNNNNNNNNNNNNNNNNNNNNNNNNNNNNNNNNNNNNNNNNNNNNNNNNNNNNNNNNNNNNNNNNNNNNNNNNNNNNNNNNNNNNNNNNNNNNNNNNNNNNNNNNNNNNNNNNNNNNNNNNNNNNNNNNNNNNNNNNNNNNNNNNNNNNNNNNNNNNNNNNNNNNNNNNNNNNNNNNNNNNNNNNNNNNNNNNNNNNNNNNNNNNNNNNNNNNNNNNNNNNNNNNNNNNNNNNNNNNNNNNNNNNNNNNNNNNNNNNNNNNNNNNNNNNNNNNNNNNNNNNNNNNNNNNNNNNNNNNNNNNNNNNNNNNNNNNNNNNNNNNNNNNNNNNNNNNNNNNNNNNNNNNNNNNNNNNNNNNNNNNNNNNNNNNNNNNNNNGGGGGGAGGAGAUAGACAUAGACCCCCCACCCGAUAAGUAAAAGAUAACCAACAUGUGGAGGGGGACAUGAACCAGCAUAUCCAAAUUAAAUGAAUAAGUACACUUAAUUAAUAACAAAGAUCAACAAUAUUGGUGGCCAAUGACAAGAAUGAAGCCCUCUUUAUGUUGUCUAGUAACAGCUGCCCCUCGGGAAGUGAUGAACAAUACCCAUCAGACACUAGGAUGUGAUUGGAACGAAAGUCGACAUCAAUAUGAAAAUUAUAACCCACGGCAUGCCAAAUGUCCCUCUACCCAUCAAUCUUCUAGGCACAUAGGUUAGCAAAUUUUCUUUAGCAAUAAAAAAAAUUAUAUAAAUAAUAUUAGCACUGGCGUAAGAGAAAGCUAAUGUGUUAAUGCAUUUUUUGUAACCACUGUUAUGAGAAAGGAGUUGCAGCUUACUUUACAUAAGAAGAUCGAAACAAUUACGAGCUAGUGAAUGCAAUUAAAGAUGGUGGGAUUGGCUUAAAUUAGUAAAAUUUAAGUCCAAUAUAGUGUUUGGUAUGGAGGAAUAAGUAAAGUAAGAAUAAUAUAGUUUAGGUAUACAAAAUUAUAAGGUGAAAAUAAUAUUUUUUUCAAAAAAAGACCCCUAGAUAAAUAUUUUAGAGUAGUUUAUUGUCUUAUGUUAAUAAGAGAAGAUAAAAGGGUUAGGUUAGAAGCCAUAAAAGUGAGUUAAUAUGAAAAAAAUAAAAAUUGAUGGGAUAUUCUCCCAUAAUCUAUUAAUGUAAGUUAUUAGGAAAAAACUAUUUAUUCCGACUUUAACCCCGAAUCCGCGUCCCGAAUAUUGCCAGAAACGGUGUGUUUGCUUUGCUUUUCCUUUUAAUUCCAGUUGUACGGUGCGUUUUGCUCUGGUUGCUUUCCUUUUAAUUCCAGCUGUGCAGCAUGUGAGCAUUCUCUUUGUCCUUCUUUUUGCGCCUGAACUACAACACUCCGCUCAGAACUUCCAAUCUGCAGACUACAAACUGCAAAACCCCAGAGCUUCCAAACUGCAAAAUGCCAUGGUCGUUUAAAAUGUGCAGACCUAACUACUCAAUUACGCAUGGUCUUUCCUCCCCCCGAGAAAGAGAAAUGUUAACUGCUGAAAAUUUGGAACAACAAUUUCUAGAGUUUCAAUUUCCCCCGCAAGCAUUAGUUUUGAUCUUAUUCUUCCUACAUUUAGUGAUUGUUUUUAAAAUCGUGAGCAGUUUGAUUUUAAAUUUAUAAAUCUUGAGCUAUUUCAUUUUAAUUUGUGAGCUAAAUCAUGAGCAUUUGUAAAUUUAUAUAUCAACAUCAAUUAGCUUUAAAUUUUCACAGGUAUAAAAUUGUAAAUUCUUUAGCUCAUUGCUAGAAGAAAUCUUAAUCUUUCAGGCAAACAACAGAAACUUAACAAGAGAUCCUCAAGAAAGUGUAAGUUCGAGAUAAGGUGAUAAAACUCUUCAUCAAUAAACUAUAUCGAAUUCAGCUUCACUUUUAAAAUGUGCAGACUUAACUACUCAAUUAGGCAUGGUCUUUCCUCCCCCCGGAAAGAGAAUUGUUAAUUGCUGAAAACUUAGAACAAUAAUUUCUAGAGUUUCAAUUUCCUCAACAAAUAAUCUAAUUCAUAUAACCUUGAGUUUGACAGCCCUUGAGACACACAAAUGCUUCAAGUCCCAACAAUCAUAACAAAACAAAUCUUCAAGCAAGGAGCAUUCACCAGUAAGCCAUCAGACCAUCUGAUCAUUUACACACAGUAUACACAGUAUUUUCACUUAUGACUUCAAAACCUAAAUCUUUUACCAUCUUCUCAAUGGCCAAUCCCAAUCCAUUCACCAGUCAUACGAGCUGAUACUUUAACAUCUAGAAGAGUCAGGAAUACUCUCAAUUUCGGCAAAAAAACCUUACGCUUGCAGAACUGAAGCAGGGAAUCGUCUACAUAUUCCAUAAAUUUUUCAUCUUCCUUUAUUGACCAACAAUUUCCACCAUUCAACCCACUUGACCCCCAACGAAGUAAUUCAUUUUGAAAUCCACAAUAAGAAUGGCAUAUGUAACUAAUUCCAUCUCUUUGUGAGUGUCGGCUAUCGCGUGACUGUUGGUGAUGGCAACGGAGAUCUCGAUCACGUGGCGGUGGUCCGUCGUCUGUGCCGGAUGAGUGUGUAUGAAAACAAAAACAAAAUCAGAAAUCCAAAUUGCCUAACUAAUUUGGUAGAUGGAUGUUUUCUGACCGAGUCUCCGUUUGUUCCCAUAAUGGCGGUGAGAAUCCGAUCGAGUCUCGAUGACAGCUCAUUGCUACGACUCGUGACUGUGUCCCUUGAGUCUUUAUUUGAAAAUCCAAAUGCCGACGACGACGGCUGCCUCCACGAACGGUUCUGAAAUCACACCGUGCGUUGAUGACGUGGCGGUGGCGAUUAACAACAGGAACUUCAACUCGGAGGAGAGGUUCAACGACUGUGAUUUUUUGCUGAAGCGGUCGUAUUUGUUCGGAUUCGAGCGGAGUCUUGCGUCGGAGAGGAUGGUGACGGAGGCGGUAACGGCGUCGCCAUGGAGGCACAAGAGGGGGAGUUUCUGGAGCAAACGGCUGUCUCUGUUUGGCUCAUUGACGAAGUCUAGAGCCUUCUGGAGCAAAGGAUUAUAUACGUCCUUUUUGUUUUCCUUUUACUGAGAUUGUAGCUAAAGCCGGUUACCCAUUUUCUAAGUGUUAAACCUCAGCCGUUGAUUACCUUUCUUUACGAUCUAAAGGGUCAUUUGCAAAAGGACAAAUGACUGGGGUACCAAACCUCUGACGCAAUGUAGCUGGACCCUAUUAAAAGAGAUAAAGAAAAAGUCAAUUGAUAAAACGGCAGUAAACACUACAUUGGAGUAUGUGUUUCUUCCUGUCAUUUACUUUAGUCAAGCUUUCUCAUUGGAAAGUUAUUCUAUAUCUAUUUGGCGAACCCGGCAGCACUUCAUUCUAGACACAUAGAAGCAGGGGUCCUGUACCACCAACCCUGUGGCCAUCAGGAACACUGGAGUAGCAGUACAGGACAUUCGACAUUUCCCAGCUCCAGUCCUUCCUAGAGACAAGCAUAUGCAGCCAGCAGCGGUUUAUUCUAACAUAGUGCUCCCUAAUCUUUCCUUCACCAACAACACUGGUAACUAUAGAGUAACAGCAUUCAUGCCCGCCCCAUACUUCGUCACCAGGAUCUGCAGUUUGACUCCCAUCUUCAUGAAAGUAACGGUGCAUUAGAGGGCUAGUACCCUUCCAGUAGGGAUCGAGAUUAAGCCAAUACUCUGGUACCACCUGAAGGCAAAAUGGCAUUCAAAGGCAGUCAUCCGAUCAAUUGAUCAUUUCAGUUUCCAACAAAAUAGUAGAAAGCUGCAGAGUAAAGGAAAGGACACACCACGAACGCCUUGGAUGCUUGGAUGCAUGCUAAGAAAUGUUUGAAUAUAGGAUUACCAGGAUUAUCAUUUACUUGUGACCAGUCCAGGGAAUAGUUACAUUAGUGAGUGCCUGAAUUAUGAGCAAUGCCUUACAAAUAGGCAGAUUAUAAUUCAUGAGUUUCGUUCCUCAUGGACCGAAAUUUCAUUACCAAGGCUACACAUGAUCAAACUUUUAAAGCGUCAAAACAUUAAUGUUUUAUAUGUUCACAUUUCAAACUCAUGCAAGUUCUAGUAAUUUUGGCACCACGUCAAGGCCAGACUGAAAUCAAGAGGCGAGUCACCACUCACCAGACCUUACUAAUAAUUAAUAACGUAUGAGAAGCACUGCAAUAAAAUUACAUACCUUGUUAAAAUGAAACUCCCAAACAUGAUCACAAAGGUCUUCUGUCAUGAUAUGAGUCUAAGAAAUUUUUUUUUAAAAAAGAACAGAAUAGUUGGUGAUAGCUUGGUCAAACGUGCAUAUGGAAAGUGACUGAUUCAAAAGAGAGACAGGAGAACAAAGGGAGAUUGAUCAGCACUCACACGUUUGCCAUCUGUGACAGACAACGAAUAUGCGGCCAGCUUUGGUAACCCCUGGACUACAGCUGAACGAGGUAUGUGCGCUUUCCCCAACCACAGUUCCUCGCACUAAAAUAGACAGGAAACUCAAGUAAAUUAUCCUUACUCAGUUACUCUUCAAAGUAGAAGCAUGACCCAUUAUGUUACCUGGAGAACUGAAAAAAAAAAAAAAAGGAAGAUAUUCUCUUCCGGUUAGGUUUCAAAUAAAGCAGAGAAAAUAAUUGAAGUUAAAAAAAAAAAAAUUCUUCACAUCAUGCAAUCAGAACGAAUAAGCAACUUAGGCCAUAAGGCAGUAAAAACGGCAUUCACAAUUCAGUUUGGUUUUAUAUAAAAAUAUACCCCAAUCCUUUAAAUAAACCAAUAAUUUACCCAAGGUCUAGUUUCAAUGAUAAGAAAGGGCUUCCUAGGGCCCAGGAUUUUGAAAAAUAAAAUUUAUUAAAAGUGAAAAAUAUUUAAAGAAAGCAGUACCUUAAAAGAGAAAUAAAAUAUAUUAAUGUUUUAAAAUUGAAAAAUAUUGUAGAAUUUUCUUUUAUUCAUAUUCUAUUUAUAUUACAUACUGCUGUACGGCCAAGGCGGAUGCCCCUAAAUUCAGUUUGGUUUUAUAUAAAAAUAUACCUCAAUCCUUUAAAUAAACCAAUAAUUUAGCCAAUGUCUAGUUUCAAUGAUAAGAAAGGGCUUCCUAGGGCCCAGGAUUUAAAAAAAUAAAAUAUACCAACAAUAUACCCCAACUAAGUCACUUUACAUAGAUAUACCCUUAAGGGGUGAACAAAGACAAAUAGAUACUAGACAAAUAAUAUUCAGUUUAAAUCGAGAAUACUCAGACGAAUUCAAGUUGGUCAAGAAAGCCAAGUCGAGUAGUAAAUUGAGUCAAAUAAUAAGUCCAGUAUUCAUAUAAUGCUCCUGACGGACAAGAAAUCCUGUAAGCUGGAUUUAGAUCCAGUACUGAGCUUAGCUGUGCUCAUCUCUUCAUAAUCAUCUACCACACAUGCAUGUAUAGCAAUUUAAGGUGAAGAUUUAAUUAAUUUUAUAUUCUUGUCUUUCUAAAAGAUUAACAAAAACCCCAGCUCAGCGCUGAAUACAAAUUCCUGUAAACUAGGAACAUAAAACUCGAUGAUGACAUGAAAAGCUUAAAUUCAAAUUCAAUUGUAUUCAUGAUAUGAUUAUUUCAAACAACCAAAAACACUUAAAACAAAAACCCAAUUGUGAAACUAAAAAAACCCAAUUCUCAUGUUCUCCGAAGAAAGCACUAAAUUAAUUAAUUAAAUUUAAAACAAAAGAAACAAACCUAAAUUCAGGUACGAGGCAACAAGAUUGGGGAAAAAAAAGAAAGAAUAGGAAAGGAAAUGAACCUUGGGAGUCCAAAGCGUGUCGCUUGAAGCGACGCCGUUCCAAGCACGGGAUACAAGGAGAGUCAGUGCUACGCUGUGUGCUUUUAGGUUUUGAAGUAUCAUCAACAUUAUGUCUCUACCAAAAGCCUCCAGUGGGUCCUGCAAUAAUUCUUCAGUUUCUUCUUCUUCGAGUUUUUCUUUUCUUUCCUCUCGCUUUCUCUCCUUUAUCAGUUUCAUCUUCGUCUUCUUCUUCUUCGGUAAAACGACAUCGUUUUCCUGUUCUUCUAUUUCUCGCAGUUCCAUUCUGCAUGGUAGUAGCUAUUACUACAGAGCAAGUAGGUUAAAAAACUAGUACUUUUUGACUUAUUAUUUUACUCGAUUUUAUCGAUUAUCACUUGAUUUAUUAUUCAACUUUGUUAGUUUAUAAUGGUCCGAUAAUGCAUUCUUGCCACGCCGAGCUCCAAAACAAAAUCAUCCUUCAAUUGAAGGACGAAAAUCGGGGGUUUGACCUCUGACUCAAAUACGUGGCAAGAUACUGAGUGAUUGCUUGGCAAAACAGCAAGUCCAUGACUUGGUUAUUUAUUGUGAUAAUUUAGAGGUGGCAAAACCGAUGACAAAGUGGUUUUCGUUGCCAUGUGAAAUUUAAAAUAUCAUUAGAGUAAUUUAGAUAUUUAUUUAAUAAUUGUAUUAAAUAUUAAAAUUUCAAGUUUGAUAUGCAAAAUAAACAAUUGACACAACGUAACUCAUUAAUUAAUAAUUGUGUCAUGACUUACUUAAUAAUCCAUUUAAUUAAUACUCAUUUAACAUGAUUUAUAUCAAUCAUUUUUGCCCCUAUUUGAUAAAAAUUUUACAAUUUUUAUAUAUUUAAAUAAUAUUAUAUAUCGAUAUCAUAAAAAUAUACAUAUCUAUUGAAAUAUUACAUAUUUACACCAUUCAAGUUUUAAAUCCAUCUAGAAUUUUAUGAAAUAGAAUAGCACAUAAAUGUUUAUCCUUCGUAGUAAUCAUUUCAUUAAUUGAGUAGAUGGGUCAAAUUUUAUGAAAUAGAAUAACACAACCUAUUUAAUAAUUGUGUCAAAUUUAAUAAUCUAAAUCUAUUUUUUCAUGUUGUGUUCAUGUGUUGCUAAAUGGAUUGUAUAAAAUUUUGUUAGUUGUGUUUAUAAUAUAUUAUAAAUUUAAAGGAGAUUUGCUUCCAAUACGAGAAUUAUAGAGUUCAGGUGUCUAUUACAUAUGUGUCAUGUAAGGCAUCGUCCGACACAACGUAGCUAGACUCGUCAUGUAAAUAUAUUAUUCUUUCUAGCAGAUCUCUCUUGCCCCCCUCUUACUUGUGUAAAAAGCAUUAAUGUCAUUAAUACCAACGGGUGAAUACAAAUGUGCUAGAAAUUUUUUCUUUUUUUUUUUUCUCACAGGGAUAUAAUUUCACACCAACAACAACAUAAUAGUACAACAACUAGUCCAUAACAGACUUGGAGAUCAAUCUAUAGAUAAUCUGAUAAGAAGAUCACAAUGCAUCCGAGACUCUAUUAAAGAGCAUCUCCAUUAUCAUGCAUCCAACAUGCUCAAGCUCUACUGGGAACAUCUUUAAUACAAUGUCUAGAUCAAGUUGUAUGUAUACUUUCAGGUUUAUUUAUUUAUUUAUUUAUUUUAUUCCACCCUAUGGGGUGGUUGUGUUUUCUGUUGCUGAUGUGUUCAUCUUUCAGAUUUGGUACCUGCGUGGGUAAGAUUUGGCAAAUAGGAGACCAUGAAUCAUUUUCUAAUGUUGAUCAGUUACAUUGCUGGUUGUAUUUUGAACCUAAAUUAUAUGUAUUUAAUCAAUCUUCUGGGAGUAAAUUUAUAAUUUACCUAGCAAGAACAAAAAUCCCUUAGCGACAUCUGAAUUGAUUGUGUACAUGUUAAAAAGAUGUGUAUAAAUCAUUACGUGAUACUUUAGUAUACUGAUAUUUUUCCUAAUACGUCGGCAUGAGAAAUCAAUUAUUCGUUUAUCUGUACAUUCGUCUAAAUAUUUGUGUAAUUGUCUGUGAUAGCUCACUAUUAUAUCCUUAUAAGUUGAAUAAAUUAAAAGAUAUAUACAUACAUACACUCACACACACACACGUAAUCAUUUUCAGGCGCGGAUGCCUUCAUUUGUUUUAAUGCGAACAUGCUCUUACGUUGUGCGGUUUAAUAACGUUAUGCACUAACUUUAUUGAACCACACCCGUACUAAAGAAGAAUUAUACAUAUAUAUACACACACACACACAUAAAAUUCAUGCAAACUAAGGUUUUUAUUUAAGCAAUUCACAUUUUAACAAUAAAGGCUCUUCACUCUUGUUUGGUAGUGUAAUUGGAUGGAUGGUUUUGCUUCAAUAUUCUCUGUCUCGCUCUUUCGUUUAUAGUUUUUCCCAACUAAUUGAGAGGAAACAAAAACUGUUUGCCUAACGGCCGAACAUGUCCGCCGUAUAUAUAUUGGGAUCAGUGUAAGUUACAUAAGUAUUAACAGCUGACCGUGUUUUUAAUUACUUUUGUUUAUUAUUAACUUUUAAUGAGAAAUCUAAUUACACUGAUAAUUUGAGAAAAUUUCAUAUAUUUUCUUUACAUUUCAAAAAUGAAAAACUAAGUUAACACUGUUGGACCAAAAAUAUUAUGGGUCGAACUAAAAUUCAAAUAAAUAUUGCCUAAACAAAGCCGAAGAUGAGUUCUUAGGAUGCAAAGAGAACACAACAUUAAAAUAUGUGAUUAUUCAUGUCUUUGAGUUUGAUCGAGCUUUCUCAUUGGAUAGUUAUUCUAUAUUUAGAAAGUAUUUGGCAAACCCAGCAGUAGUUCAUUCUAGACGCAUACAAGCAGGGGUCUUGUACCACCAAGGCACCAACCCUGUGGCCAUCAGGAACAGUGGAGUAGCAGACUCUCUUAAUAAUGUAUAACAAGCACCAUACUAAAAUUACAUACCUAAUUAAAAUGAAGCUCCCAAACAUGAUCACAAAGGUCUUCUUUAGUGAUAUGAGUCUACCAGAAUCAUACAAAUGAAGAACAGAAUAGUUAGUGAAAGCUCGUGCGCACGUGUAUAUAAAAAGUGAGCGAAUGAAAAGAGAGAUGGGAGAAGCACUCACACGUUUGCCAUCCAUUACAGACAACGAAUAUGCGGCCAACUUUGGUAACCCCUUGAUUAGAGCUAAACGAGGUAUGUGUGCUUUCCCAAACCAUAGUUUCUCGCACUAAAAUGGACAGGAAAUUCAAGUAAAUUAUCCUUACUUAGUUACUCUUCAAAGUAGAAGCAUUUACACAUUAAGUUACCUCAAGAACUGAAAAAUAAAAAACAGGUAGAUAUUCUUUUCUAGUUGUGUUUCAAAUAAAGCUGAGAAAAUAAUUGAAGUUAAAUAAAUAAAUUAAAAAAAAAACUUCACGAAUCAUGCAGCCAGAAUAAAUAAGCAACUUUGGCAGCAAGGCAGUAAAAUCCCGCAUUGGCAUUCACAAUUCAGUUUGUAUAUAAAAUAUACCCCAUAAAUAUACCAAUAUACCAAGGGUACAGCCAAGGUCUAGCUGCAAUGGUAAGAGCUGCCUGAGCCCUAUUUUAAAAAAUAAAAUAUAAAACAACGUACCCAAACUAACUCACUUUAUUUUAAAUAUACCCUUAAGAGGUGAACAAAAGAUAGUAGACUAACAAUGGAGUGAUAUUUUAUUAAUAAUAAUUAUAUUUAUAAUUUUAACAAAUUGUUCAUUUAAAAUAUGAAUGAGAAUACAAAGUUGUAUAAAUGUUUUUUUAAAAAAAAGAAAUAUCUCAUUAAUUUAUCAAAAUCAUUAAGGUGGCGUUUAUUUUUUUGUCUAAAAUCUGAAUAAACCUAAAUUAGUAUGAAUUCUGAAUAGAACUGAAUGUCUAAAUUUGAAUUAUAUGUUUAUUUUUUUUGUCUGAAUAGCUAGAAAUAAAUAUUAAGUUGUUUGUUUUUUUGACUGAAAAAAUCUGAAAACUAAUAUUUUUACAUUUAUGCCCUUACAAAUUAUAAUGUUAAACAAAUAAUAAACAUAUCAAAGAAAAUAAAUAAGGUAAUAAAUUAUCAUAACAUAAAUCAUAUUCAAUUGAGUUCAACUCUUUAAUAUUUUAUAUCAUAUAUGUUAAUCAAUUUUAUUAUAGUUUGUGAUGUUUUUAUAUGAAAAAUAUUCAUAAAAAAUUAUGAAGAUAAAUAAUGCUAAUUUGAACAAAAUAAAAAUAAAAAAUAAUAAUAGGCUACCACUAUAUAUUAUCACAAGUUAUAUACAAAUGAGUAAUAAUGCUAAUUAUUAAAUUUUAUUUAGCUAAGGAUGAAAAUUAAUUAAUUAAAUAGGGAUAUUUUAGAAAAUAUCUUUUAAUGAUAGCAUUCAAAUUUUUUAGAUUAAUUAAAAAGCUAAAAAAAUUAGCUUAAUAACUUAAUUGCUAAAAAUCUUCAUUAAAUUUAAAAAACAAACAGACUUAAUGGCUUAACUAAUUAAAAUUAAGUCAAUUAAGUUAUUAAGUAAAAAAUAAAUAAACUGCCACUAAGUUCGUCUAUUAGUCAAAAUUAAAAUGAUAAAAAAUCAUUAAAUAAUAAAAAUUCUUAAUUUAUCUUUUAUUGUUUAUAGUAGUUGUGACACAUAUAUUAAUUAAAAUUUAUUAUGACCGUAAUUUUCAGUAUUUCACAAAUCCCCUCUCUGUUUCUUUUCUUUUGUUGUGCGUUUUGGUUAUUUGUUGGGGAGAUAGGCCCCCUGAUGCGACUAACAGUUACAAGCGACAUAUCUAGUAAGUAGUAGCAAGAGAAUCUAACUCACAAUGAGUAGAGACUACAGAGUCUACAAUCAAAAUUCCUUUUUUUAAAAAAAAAAUGAGUAAUUUUCUUUUUCAUCCACUUUCCUUUUUUGUGGUCAUAACUCAUAAGGGUGACAAUCACCGAAUCCAAAGUGGCUUCCUCACAGCCAGCAACCAUCCACUUGCCAUUGGUUUAAUGUGGGAGUGGAGUCGUGUCUUCUGAAAGUCAAAAUAAAGUUAGAAGGAAACAAAUUCUCAAUGUGGGUUCUUAAAUCAAUUUCAGGACAACCACAUGAUUUCGUUGAUGUGUUUAUUUUUUAUAUUUAAAAAAUGAGGAAUGAGAAUUGUUAAUAAUAUUUACUUGCUAAAAAUACAAAGAAAUAUAAAUAAAUUUUGAGUGAGUUGCAUAUAUUUGAGAAUGAGUAGGAAUUUCAUUUGGAUAGAAGAGGUGGGAAUAAGAAUGGAGAAUUGAGAAUAAAGAGUAAAACUUGUUUAUCUUUAUUGAAAAUUAAAACUUGCUUUUUACUCCAUUUUGGUAACUUACAACCAUCUAUUUUGAUUUUAACACAAAAUAAACACAUCAAAUUUGAAAUACAGUUGAUUUCGAUCUCGAUUCUUGUAGUUGAAGUAGAAAAUUUAUUCUUCUACAUUUUGAUUCCAACCCAUAAUAACUCUUGACUAUUAGGAUUCUUAGUUAAUAAAUGCACUAUUAAUGUACUGUCAAAGAGUAAAACUUGUUUAUCUUUAUUGAAAAUUAAAACUUUCUUUUUACUCCAUUUUGGUAACUUACAACCAUCUAUUUUGAUUUUAACACAAAAUAAACACAUCAAAUUUGAAAUACAGUUGAUUUCGAUCUCGAUUCUUGUAGUUGAAGUAGAAAAUUUAUUCUUCCACAUUUUGAUUCCAACCCAUAAUAACUCUUGACUAUUAGGAUUCUUAGUUAAUAAAUGCACUAUUAAUGUACUGUCAAAGAGUAAAACUUGUUUAUCUUUAUUGAAAAUUAAAACUUUCUUUUUACUCCAUUUUGGUAACUUACAACCAUCUAUUUUGAUUUUAAGACAAAAUAAACACAUCAAAUUUGAAAUACUGUUGAUUUCGAUCUGGAUUCUUGUAGUUGAAGUAGAAAAUUUAUUCUUCCACAUUUUGAUUCCAACCCAUAAUAACUCUUGACUAUUAGGAUUCUUAGUUAAUAAAUGCACUAUUAAUGUACUGUCAAAGAGACUCUGUUUUUUAGUUUCAAUCUAAUUCAUCUCAAAUCUCUCACAUAUUGAAUACCUUGUUGCUUGUUAAAAUUUAUUAAAGAUAUUUAAAAAAGAAUUUACGGACAAAACUAGCUGCCAUCUAUGUAAAUAUAUUAAAAUUCUUUUUCUAGUUAGUGCUUCUUAAAAAGAAUCUACCUUAGCCAACCCAAAUCAAUUUUUUCCCCUCAACCAUUGUUAGUUUUCAAUGGUUGCAAUAAUUCCUCCAAAGUAACGUCCCUCCCUUUUGGUCUUUCUCGGUCUUAAUUCAACUCAUUUGGUGACGUAGGAUUUGACUUUAAAAUGAUGUGUCAUUAUCUCUAUUGAAUGGUAAAUUUUAAUUUACUUAUAUAAGUACUCAUUUUCUUAGCCCAUUAGUACAACCUUUGAGUCCUAAUUAUUAUUGGACCCGGUUUCCCUUCUAAUUAAAUUGGAUAGGAGUAAAUUUCUUCUCCAUUAAUAUGAGUAGAGCAAACAUCCCUAUAAUAUUAUGUGAGGGUAGAAAUUCAAACUAUGUCAUACUAGACUUAUUAAGAAUAGUUUUGAUAAAUUUUUUAUUGUAAAUAUUAAUAAAAUUCUGAUGACAAUAUAUUAACCUAUUAAAACAAACAUAUUAUAUAUAUAUAUAUAUAUAUAUAGACACCACCCUUAAACACGCAUCAUAGGUUUUCUUUAAUCAUAUCUAAUUAAAGAUUUCUAAUGACGCAUUAUACAAAGAGAUAAAAUUUUUCAAUUUUUUUUUUGACAAAGUAAUCAAGAUUUUAUUCAAUCAACAUAAGAAAGUACAAACAAUUUGAAAUAUUAAAUUUGAUUUUGACUUUCUCUCACCAAUUCAAUCUAAUUAUUAACAGCAAAGUAGACCUGCCUGUUUCUCAAAUUUGAUUUUCAUUAAAACAUCAGUGAUCAAUGUACAAUUAAAAUAAUAAUUCAUUAUUAGCAAAGAUUGAGUAAAUUAGUUAAUGUUUAUGUUAAAAUGAAAAUCAAUCAUUUUAUUGAUAAACAAAGAUGGUGACUCACUACAAUCAAUUACUUUUGUCCUACUCCGUAAUAGACAAUCUGAUGAUCAAAAUCACAAGCAAGAAAAAGCUCAAGCCAAUUAAACAAGUGAUAAUAGCAAGGCCUAAAGAAGGUACUAACAUUGCAUACGUUCCCGUAACGAAUGCAAUCACCAUUGCUCCCAUGGAAAAUAUGGUGAACCAAACUGAAGCACCAAACAGAGCCUCAUUGAAAUCUUUAGUUUCUUCAAUUAGAAGAGACAAGCAGAAGUGAGUAAAGACGGCAGAAAGAGAAAAGACCAUGGCAAUGGAAUCUGCUACUAUAAAUGCUUGAAAAGCUGUAUUUCUCCUCAGGAUUGCAGUUCCAUUUUCGCUUCUAUAACCGCCAGGAAUGGUGAAAGCUGCUGCGAAGGCUACUGUUGCUAUGAGUGCAGCCACUACCAAAU
rnacentral:lncRNA from 1 species